rnacentral:rRNA from 1 species
AUUCCAGCUCCAAUAGCGUAUAUUAAAGUUGUUGCAGUUAAAAAGCUCGUAGUUGGAUUUCUGGCGUCGCCGCCCGGUCGGCCUCGAAAGGGGUUCGCACUCGUUGGCGCGCGUCGCCAUCCUCGGGGGAAGGCCGCCUGGCAUUAAGUUGUCGGGCGGUCGACGCUCGUCGUUUACUGUGAACAAAUUAGAGUGUUCAAAGCAGGCUUAGGCCGUUGAAUACAUUAGCAUGGAAUAAUGAGAUAGGACUUUGGUGGUCUAUUUUGUUGGUUUGCACGCCGAAGUAAUGAUUAAUAGGGGCGGUUGGGGGUAUUCGUAUUCAAUUGUCAGAGGUGAAAUUCUUGGAUUUAUGGAAGACGAACUACUGCGAAAGCAUUUACCAGGGAUGUUUUCAUCG